rnacentral:piRNA from 1 species
CUUGAGGGGCAGACUCGCCAG